rnacentral:rRNA from 1 species
AUGAACGCUGGCGGCGUGCCUAAUACAUGCAAGUCGAGCAAACAGAUGAGGAGCUUGCUCCUCUGACGUUAGCGGCGGACGGGUGAGUAACACGUGGAUAACCUACCUAUAAGACUGGGAUAACUUCGGGAAACCGGAGCUAAUACCGGAUAAUAUAUUGAACCGCAUGGUUCAAUAGUGAAAGACGGUUUUGCUGUCACUUAUAGAUGGAUCCGCGCCGCAUUAGCUAGUUGGUAAGGUAACGGCUUACCAAGGCAACGAUGCGUAGCCGACCUGAGAGGGUGAUCGGCCACACUGGAACUGAGACACGGUCCAGACUCCUACGGGAGGCAGCAGUAGGGAAUCUUCCGCAAUGGGCGAAAGCCUGACGGAGCAACGCCGCGUGAGUGAUGAAGGUCUUCGGAUCGUAAAACUCUGUUAUUAGGGAAGAACAAAUGUGUAAGUAACUAUGCACGUCUUGACGGUACCUAAUCAGAAAGCCACGGCUAACUACGUG